GACGAACGCUGGCGGCGUGCUUAACACAUGCAAGUCGAACGGAAAGGCCCUGCUUGUGUGGGGUGCUCGAGUGGCGAACGGGUGAGUAACACGUGAGUAACCUGCCCUUGACUUUGGGAUAACUUCAGGAAACUGGGGCUAAUACCGGAUAGGAGCUCCUGCUGCAUGGUGGGGGUUGGAAAGUUUCGGCGGUUGGGGAUGGACGCGCGGCUUAUCAGCUUGUUGGUGGGGUAGUGGCUUACCAAGGCUUUGACGGGUAGCCGGCACGAGAGGGUGACCGGCCACAUUGGGACUGCGAUACGGACCAGACUCCUACGGGGGGCAGCAGUGGGGAAUAUUGCACAAUGGGCGGAAGCCUGAUGAAGAAACGCCGCGUGCGGGAUGACGGCUUUUGGGUUGUAAACCGCUUUCGCCUGUGACGAAGCGUGAGUGACGGUAAUGAGUAAAGAAGCACCGGCUAACUACGUG
rnacentral:rRNA from 1 species